UCUUGGCUGAUUUCUUUUGAUUUUCCCAUGAUGUCAAGCAAAGAGGCACUGAGUUUGAAGGUAGGCCUCGGAAUACAUCCACAGGUACACCUCCAAUUGGCUAAAAUGAUGUCAAUUAGCCCAUCAGAAGCUUCUAAAGCCAUGAAAUCAUUUUCUGGAAUUUUACAAGCUGUUUAAAGGCACAGUCAACUUAGUGUAUGUAAACUUCUGACCCACUGCAAUUGUGAUACAUUGAAUUAUAAGUUAAAAAAAUUGUCUGUAAACAAUUGUUGGAAAAAUGACUUGUGUCAUGCACAAAGUAGGUGUCCUAACCGACUUGCCAAAACUAUAGUUUGUUAAUAAGAAAUUUGUGGAGUGGUUGAAAAACUAGUUUUAAUGACUCCAACCUAAAUGUAUGUAAACUUCCGACUUCAACUGUACAUGCCAUUUCUACAAUCUCUUUUCAGGUUUCACUCAUGUUCCUUGGGAGCUUUCCAGUGAGAGAACAUCUCAUAACAUGGUGGGAGCAACCAACCCAUAUCCUGCACCUCCCAGCUCUCACCACCUCAGUGUAAUGGAGUAAACUCUGGAGUCUUAUUGUACCUCCCUGAUCUUCUCAUCCCCUCUUCUCCCUCUCUUUUACUCUCUCUCUCCCUCUCUCCCUCCCUCUCUCCCUCUCUUUUACUCUCUCUCCCUCCCCCUCUCUCCUCUUUUACUCUCUCCUCUUGUACUCUCUCCUCUCUCUCUCCUCUCUCUCUCUCUUUUUCCAUGUGAACACUCACUGCAGUCCCCUGUCCCUAAAGCACAUCACAACUACCACUGAGCCAAUAGUUUGUUGCUGCUAUCAAAUAUUACAUGUGCCUAUUCACAGCUCUGUUGUAGAGGAAGAUAUUGUAUAGUGAUGUAACUCUGCAGGAGUGCAUUCUGGGUAAGCGUCACAAAUGGCACCCUAUUCCCUAUAUAGUCCACUACUUUGGACCAGGGCCCAUAGUGCUCUGACCAAAACUAGUGCACUAUGUAGGGAAUAGGGUGCCAUUUUGGACUUAACCUGGCUGUCAAUAUUUGCCCGAUACCACAUAAAGGACUGGCUUUGGGAAAUCUAGAAACAUUUACAGCAUCUGUUACCCACAGGGCCUCUGUUAAUAAAAGCAUGUCAGACAACGAGUGCUGAUCUAGAAUCAGUUGUCCCUUUUAGAAUAUAAUGAAUAAGAUUAUACGGUCAGUGAGGGUCUGAUCUUAGACCAGCAUUUUGGGAUGAAAUGCUUUGUGAAUACGGGCCCUGAAUGCAUCUUAGAAUGAGUCCACUCUUAGCAAUAAUGUACUAACAUUAGACUAGAGAUUAAACGUGGACAUCUGUAACACUAGAAUGGACACUGGCAUCCUGGCAACAUGGCUAUAGGACAGCCAUCUUGGUCAGGGGAAUCUUUCUUUCUAGAGACUCCUCCAACAUGGUGACACAGUAGAUAGAUCGCUAUGAUCAGAACAUGGUACUGAUCACUAUGGUCAGAACAUGGUACUGAUCACUAUGGUCAGAACAUGGUACAGAUCGCUAUGAUCAGAACAUGGUAUUGAUCACUAUGGUCAGAACAUGGUACAGAUCACUAUGGUCAGAACAUGGUACUGAUCACUAUGGUCAGAACAUGGUACAGAUCACUAUGAUCAGAACAUGGUACAGAUCACUAUGGUCAGAACACUAUGGUCAGAACAUGGUACAGAUCGCUAUGGUCAGAACAUGGUACUGAUCACUAUGGUCAGAUCACUAUGGUCAGAACAUGGUACAGAUCUCUCAUGUACACUACCAUAAUCUUGUCUUAUGAAUACACUGACACUGGGAAAAACUGCUUAAAGGUAUUUCAUUAAUUAAUAUCUUCUAUAUAUAUAUAUCUGCACAUGCAGUUUAUAUGUACAAAACAUUCAAUACAGGAGAUCUUACUGUAGAUAAUUCGAAGAGACAAAAAUACAACAAUACGAAUAAGAAAAAUGGCUAGGGGAGGAGGAGGUGGCUAGGGGAGGAGGAGGUGACUAGGGGUAGAGGAGGUGACUAGGGGUAGUGGAGGUGACUAGGGGAGGAGGAGGUGACUAGGGGUAGAGGAGGUGACUAGGGGAGGAGGAGGUGACUAGGGGAGGAGGAGGUGACUAGGGGAGGAGGAGGUGACUAGGGGAGGAGGAGGUGACUAGGGGAGGAGGAGGUGACUAGGGGAGGAGGAGGUGACUAGGGGUAGAGGAGGUGACUAGGGGUAGUGGAGGUGACUAGGGGAGGAGGAGGUGACUAGGGGAGGAGGAGGUGACUAGGGGUAGAGGAGGUGACUAGGGGUAGUGGAGGUGACUAGGGGAGGAGGAGGUGACUAGGGGAGGAGGAGGUGACUAGGGGAGGAGGAGGUGACUAGGGGUAGAGGAGGUGACUAGGGGUAGUGGAGGUGACUAGGGGAGGAGGAGGUGACUAGGGGAGGAGGAGGUGACUAGGGGAGGAGGAGGUGACUAGGGGUGGAGGAGGUGACUAGGGGUGGAGGAGGUGACUAGGGGUGGAGGAGGUGACUAGGGGUGGAGGAGGUGACAUGGGGUAGAGGAGGUGACUAGGGGUGGAGGAGGUGACUAGGGGAGGAGGAGGUGACUAGGGGUAGAGGAGGUGACUAGGGGUAGUGGAGGUGACUAGGGGUAGAGGAGGUGACUAGGGGUAGUGGAGGUGACUAGGGGAGGAGGAGGUGACUAGGGGAGGAGGAGGUGACUAGGGGUGGAGGAGGUGACUAGGGGAGGAGGAGGUGACUAGGGGUGGAGGAGGUGACUAGGGGAGGAGGAGGUGACUAGGGGAGGAGGAGGUGACUAGGGGAGGAGGAGGUGACUAGGGGUAGAGGAGGUGACUAGGGGUAGAGGAGGUGGGCUGUUGGAGGAGGUGACUAGGGGUAGAGGAGGUGGGCUGUUGGAGGAGGUGACUAUGGGUAGAGGAGGUGGGGUGUUGGAGGAGGUGACUAGGGGUAGAGGAGGUGACUAGGGGUAGAGGAGCUGGGGUGUUUGAGGGGUACAGGCUGGUCUCAGUACAGGCUGGUCUUAUAACCGCACAACACCCUGGUCUAGUCUCAGUACAGGCUGGU